AGAAUAUAUCAGAGUCUUGAUUACAUAGAGGAUAAUGCCACAGGUUUUCAUGCCUACUAUCUCCCUGCAGUAGCUAAUGCCGAAAUAAAAAACUCGGUGGCUUUGGGUCGUUUCAUUCUUCCUCCUGCGUGCCUGCAAAAAGAAUAAGAAGAAAAAUUGGUAGUUUUAUUUGAGAACAAGACCAACAUUUUCUGAUAGAAAAGCAUGAUGAAGUAACACCAAAUGAAAUAAAGACCCUUAGGGAAAACAGUGAACUAGCAACAUAGCACAAAAAAGAAUUAUAAAAUACAAAAAAUUAUCCGGGCGUGGUUGCGGACGCCUGUAGUCCCAGCUACUCGGGAGGCUGAGGCAGGAGAAGGCGUGACCCCAGGAGGCGUUAUAUAUCAAUUGAUGCCAUGAAGAAAUUCCUUGGGGAGUUACAUGACUUCAUUGCUGGAAACUCGGGAUAUUUGGCAUAUCAUGUUCAAAAUGAAAUUAAUAUGUCUGCUAUAAAAAACAAAUUGAAGAGG
rnacentral:lncRNA from 10 species